UCAAUUAUCUAAAUUACAAACAUGUCUUAAGGACAUAAAAUCCUGGAUGACCUGCAAUUUUCUGAUGUUAAACUCAGAAAAAAACAAAAUUCUUGUUCUUGGCCCCAAAAACCUUAGAGACUCAUUGUCUAAAGAUAUAGUCACUCUAGAUGGCAUUAACUUGGCCUCUAGCACCACUGUCAGGAAUCUUGGAGUUAUCUUUGAUCAGGAUUUGUCAUUUAACUCCCACAUGAAGCAGACCUCUAGGACUGCCUUCUUUCAUUUACGUAAUAUUACAAAAAUUAGACACAUCCUAUCACAGACAGAUGCAGAAAAACUAAUCCAUGCAUUUGUUACUUCAAGGCUGGAUUACUGCAACUCUUUAUUAUCAGGUUGCCCCAAUAAGUCCAUUAAAACGCUCCAAUUAAUUCAGAACGCUGCAGCACGAGUACUGACAGGAACUAGAAAAAGAGAUCACAUCUCUCCUGUACUAGCUUCUCUGCAUUGGCUCCCUGUAAAAUGUAGAAUUGAAUUUAAAAUCCUCCUCCUCACCUAUAAAGCUCUUCAUGGUCAGGCCCCUUCAUAUCUUAAAGAGCUCAUAGUACCCUAUUACCCCACUAGAACACUACGUUCUCUGAAUGCUGGGCUACUUGUGGUUCCUAUAGUCUCUAAAAGUAGAACAGGAGCCAGAGCCUUCAGUUACCAAGCUCCUCUCCUGUGGAACCAGCUUCCAGUUGUGGUUCGGGAGGCAGACACCCUCACCACAUUCAAGAGUAGGCUUAAGACAUUCCUCUUUGAUAAAGCUUAUAGUUAGGGCUGGAUCAGGUGAGUCCUGAACCAUCCCUUAGUCAUGCUGCUAUAGGCCUAGACUAUCGGGGGAUUUCCCAUGGUGCACUGAGCUACUCUCUUCCUCUCUCUUUCUGCACUCAUUCAUGUCCCUUUAAUGCAUGUUACUAACUCCACUUCUUCCCCGGAGUUCUUGUGCUUUCUCGUCUCGCAGGUUCUCAUGGAUCCUGGUGGAGCCUCCUGCCAUGGUCCUGCUAGAUUGCCAUUGCCAAUACUGUUGUUGCUGUGCACCUGUCUGUCUGUCUGUCUGUCUGUCUCUCUCUCUCUCUCUCUCUCUCUCACCCCAACUGGUCGAGACAGACGACCACCCACCUAGAGCCGAAGGAUCUGUCCUAGGUUUCUGCCUUUUAACAGGCAGUUUUUCCUUGCCCUUGUCUCCAAGGUCUUGCUCAUGGUGGUACUGUUGGGUCUCUGUAAUUAAUGUUUUAAAGAGUUCGGUCUAGACCUGCUCUAUUUGAAAAGUGUCCUGAGAUAACUUCUGUUAUGAAUUGGCCCUAUACAAAUAAAACUGAAUUGAAUUGAA